UGAUCCCACGUGUGACGAUUCUGUUCCCGGCUCAGUAAUAUUCUCCCAGUCGGGCUGUGCAUAGCUUUUGCAGUGUCUGUGUGUGUUUGUUACUGUAGUUACUGCCUAUAGUUUGGUUAGCUAUGGAAGGAGACGGGAGUCAAGUUACAUCUGGAAGCCCAAAUGAUUCACAACAUGACCCGGGUAAAAUGUUUAUUGGUGGCCUCAGCUGGCAAACCUCACCAGACAGCCUUAGAGACUAUUUUAGCAAAUUCGGAGAAAUAAGAGAAUGUAUGGUGAUGAGAGACCCCACAACAAAACGUUCCAGAGGAUUUGGAUUCGUUACGUUUGCAGAUGCUGCCAGUGUAGAUAAAGUCUUAGCUCAACCACACCACGAAUUAGACUCAAAGACGAUUGAUCCUAAGGUUGCCUUCCCCCGACGCGCUCAACCCAAGAUGGUCACAAGAACAAAGAAAAUAUUCGUGGGCGGAUUGUCAGCCAACACAGUGGUGGAAGAUGUGAAGCAGUAUUUUGAACAGUUUGGGAAGGUAGAAGACGCCAUGCUUAUGUUUGAUAAAACUACUAACAGACAUAGAGGAUUUGGCUUCAUAACUUUCGAGGGCGAAGACGUCGUAGAGAAAGUCUGUGAAAUUCAUUUUCAUGAAAUCAAUAAUAAAAUGGUAGAAUGUAAGAAGGCCCAGCCCAAGGAGGUGAUGUUCCCACCAGGCACGCGAGGGAGGGCCAGGGGCCUGCCCUACACCAUGGACGCCUUCAUGCUGGGGAUGGGCAUGCUGAGUGAGUAUGGACCAACACUACUCCAGCACAGUCCAGCACAUUACUCCGUCCCACAUGGUUACCCGAACAUUGUGGCAACAUACGGUCGUGGAUACACUGGAUUCACCCCCAGUUACAGCUAUCAGUUCCCUGGUUUCCCGGCGACGGCGUACGGACCGGUGGCGGCAGCGGCGGUGGCAGCAGCGCGUGGCUCAGGUAGGGGGGCCCGAGGAAAAGGCGGCUACAUGGCGUACCCACAGAACGCAGGGCCAGGCUUUCACGAUUACGGGUUUUACUCUGCGCCCAGUGACCAGAGGGGGGCGCCCUGCUCCUUUGCGGACUAUGGCUCCCUGGGGCCCCAGGCGGCUCAGAUGCUGCACAGUGAGCAUGCCACCUCCGCCUGCAACUCCCCCCUCCAGCACCUGCACAGCCCGGAUCAGUUUAAGAGCCCAGGGGGAAACCCAGCUCGUCCUGGAGGCUUCCCAGGUGCCAACAGCCCAGGGCCUGUAGCCGACCUGUACGGCCCUGGAGGCCAGGACUCCAAUGUGGCUAACUACAUCAGUGCUGCUAGCCCCCAGGCUGGCUCCGGCUUCGGCCACAGUAUCGCGGGCCCGUUGAUUGCGACAGCUUUUACAAAUGGAUACCAUUGAACAGGUGUUCGGUUGCCAUCUUAUUGGAGUAACCCUCUAUUUCACCUCACCAUGCUACAAACUUGUACAGCAGAGUCUAUCUGGUGGUCCAGGGAAGACAGACCGAACCUUCUAAUUGGCUCUGUGUACAGGUGAUGUCAUCCAACUUCAAGCACUACAGCAUCACCCAGGAGAAAUGGUGGAACCACAUCAAAAAAAUCAUCUCAGAAAGGAAAGAAAACUGCUGUACCAUAAUCCAAACCUGUAACCUGACAACCUGGUUUGUUAUGACAUUUCUUGAUGAUUUCAUUCACUUUUUUUCCUUCCUUUUAUUAGUUGUUUGAUUAGCUUUACAGAGAGGCAUUUUGGUUUGAUCCUAAUUACUUGUGUCAUUUUUUGAUUUUCUCUUGUAGUGUAUGUAUGCAAAUGGGUAUGCUUCUCUCUUUCGGGGGUCAUAGUCGAGAAUGUACGAAGUAAUGUGUUCACAUUUGGUACCAAUUCGUUUAAUCAAAAAAGAUCAGCGCUUUAAGACUUUCCACUUUGGAUUUCUUUUAUGUGCAUAAAAGAAAUCCAAAGUGGAAAGUCUUGGAAAAAAACAUCAAUUUCAUUUCAAAUGAAAAUUCGAGAGGGUAACUAACUAAUAAAUCUUAGUAGCUGUUUUUAAUUAUUGUGAUGUCUCAUUGUUAACCAUAAUUACCUAUUUUUGGGCAAUACAAAGAGGACUCCAAUAUUUUUAUGGUCCUUUUUUACAAGUGUUGUUUUUGUUGUUUAGAAAAAGAUAUGUAUACUAUAAAACAUUUCAUAUAAAUACAUUGUGAAUUCAAAGACUUAAGAAAAAGAAAUGUAACUGUAAAUACUAUUCCAGUCAUUGCAUAUAACCAACUCGAUGAGAGAAUAGCAUAUUUUUGUGAUGGUGUGUCAAAGAAAUGUUCUAGCGCGUGAAUAGAAAAAAAAGCUCUAAACAAAUACUAUUAUCCUUUACUGCUCAGAGACAGUGACUACCCCAGUGAUGGACACAACACAUUUCAACACUGAUGGCUUGCUCUGGAAAUACUCAAGCUGAAUAAAUUUACAAGUGUCAAACCAGUGCAUUUACAAGUGGUGAGUUCAGCGCACAGUUUUUAAAUGGAUAAAAGAUCAUCGGUAUCUUUUGUCUAACCAAGUGUUAUUUAAGAGAUCAAUAUUAUUUGAGUGAUCAUUUAAUCCAAAGCACACUGUACUUAGUGUUGAAGAAUAGAACUCGAGCCUAAGCAUUUUACAGUACUCUGCGCAUCCAGACACUUUUAUACUCCUGAGAGAAAAGCUCAACUUGUUGUUUGUUGUUUUGUUGUUGUUUGUUUCCUCCCGCUUGUUCCUCUUAAGUUUGGGACUCCAUCAGUUCUCUUUUGAAUGAAUUGGGAAGGAAAACAAUUUGAUACCAUACCUCAGCCCUGUGAGUUAUACCUUGGAAUCGUUGAGAGGUUUAAUUUAUUUUAGUGGCAAAUAGAUUCAAACAUUGAAUGGAAAAAAAAAAUGUAUAAAUCAUUGCACUGUGAGCAGUAAAGAAAGAACAGGCCAUUUCCUAUUUGCACAUGUAUAUGUUGGCUAUUUAAAAUGGUCCUGUCUCUGGGGUGAAGUAUGAAGGAUUAUUGGAUGUUGCUCCUCUCUAGAAUAGGCAUACACAAACAGCUUGGCAAAUAGCAAUUAACUGAUUAAUUACUACCAAUGUGUUGUGGUCAUGUCUUUGGAUUUCAUUGUAUCGUGUACGCCAACUUCUAAUCUAAAAUAUUGAUGCUAUUUUAGAUCCAGCCAAUAGAAGACACUGAAUAAAUUAUUCAUCCUGGUAACCAUAGCUGCUGCGCUAAUUUCUUACAGUAUGUGUAGGGACAGGUUUUGCUCAAUUAUAGAGACAUUUAACGACAUGCUUUAAAGUGCAGUAAGAUUUGUAAACAUGAUGAUGGAAUGAGUGGUGUAUAUUCUGAUGUACUUUUCCUGCUGCAAAUAUGUUUGACAAUUCAUUUCACCUGAUGUUUCAUUUCAUUAUCUCUUUGGUUCAGAACAACCAGGUGAAGAAAAAUGCUGGAUGCUUUUGAAUGAUGUGGAGAUAUGAUCAAGUAAUAAUUUAAAUGAGAAAACGGAAGAGAACCAUUGUAAUGUUCAAAUGUAAAAGGAAAAAAAGAAAUACAAAACUUUUUAAAAAAAGAAAAAGAUGCUUCUUCACUGAUUUCAAUUUUGAAUCAGGGGAUUUUAUUGAUAUUUUUGUGGUUACUAAUUGUAAUAUGAUAUUAUUAAAAUGUACUGUGCAUCCAUCGAUUUCUCUCUUUCCAUUCCCUUCCCUGUCACCACAUACAAUCUUUUGUUGAUCAUCCAUGUAUUUCAAUAGUGUGUAAAAAAAAAAAUCACACAAAAAAACAAACAAAAAUGAACUUGUAACAGAGUGCUGUCUUUGAUACCAGUGUAGUGGUCUAUGCUCUUCUUUGUCGUUCUCUCUUUUUCUGGCUUUUUCCUCUCCUUUCUCUGUCACAUUCUCUUCCCCUCUCUCUCGCUCUCUUACUCUCCUCUAUCUCCUUGUAAUUAGUUGUAGAUGUUAUGUAAUUAAGAUAAUACUUGUAGUUAUUAGUGGAUUUAUGACCAGUAAGGAUAGAACUUUCUCUUAUUAUCAAAAGUUUGACAUAAAUUUGCAAACAGUUAUUUUAAUAGCAGUUCCAUGUCAUUUGUUCCCCGUGUGUGUGUGUGUGUGUGUGUGUGUGUGUGUGUGUGUGUGUGUGUGUGUGUGUGUGUGUGUGUGUGUGUUUUACCGAUCUCACAUGGUUUCAACUAACCAAAGCUCUCAUAGAAGAAUUAUAGAGAAUCAAAUUGCUGUAAGAUGGAAUUUUAAACAAGGCAUUAUUUGGAUCCCCUCCCUUGAAUGUUUAAAAGGGGUGUGUCAUACUACCUUAAAUGUUAACGCUAGAUAUGCAAAAUGUUUAUUUUGGAUUACUUUUUAACAGGGACACAAGCUAUAAUUAGGAAAAAGAUUUUAUGUGAAAGCAACAACAAAAAACAUAUUUUUUAGAAAGUUCUAACAUAUUAAUGAUGAUUACUACAAUAAUAAUAAUAAUAUUAAUAAUCAUAACACUACUAAUAAUAAUAAACUGUAAUAUCUUUUAAUGUUUUUACACUAUAUCCCAGAUGCCUGUAUGGCUCUGCUAUUUUUGGAUUACCACUCUGUUUUUGAAAUGUUUCUGCCUUUCAUUUUACUCAUAAAAACAUACUUUUUUGUGAAUGCUUUUUUUAGUCCCUGAAAACCAGCGCUUUAUUCUAAUCAAAGUUAGGUGAAUGUUGUCUGUUAAUGUUGUUCUCACAGAUCUCGACAGACAUGCUUAUUACGUCACAACCUUUGGAAAGAAUUUGAAGUCAUCUAGCUUUUAGAUGCCAUUACAUACUUGGAGCAAAGAUGACACAGAAUGAAUCUUUCUAAUGAUUGUUUCAUACCUGGUGAAGGUGGUCAACACGGCAUAAACUUGAGAUACUCCUGAAGAUUGUCUUCAAUUAGUUCACCUGUUGUUGAGUGUCUUCAAACAGUAGUUCAGUUGGUCAGUAAAACUGUAAUGUCUAUAGCGGGGGUUACAAUUGGGGUAUACAUGUAAGCUUAGAUAUCCAUGUAUUUCUCACUCGUAAUAGUUUGCAACACUUGAAUAUAUGUAUAUAUUUCGACCUUUGUCAAGGAUUUAGUUAAUUGGACGACAGAGAAAGUCAAAUAUUAUGGGUGAAUUCAAUUAGACUUAUACAGGAGUUGAUAAUAAAAUAGUAGUUCUUAGAGUAAUCAGUUCAUAGAUGUACUGUCCAUAACAACAUGUUCACAAAGAAAUGAAAUGUAUGUGGAACUGGCAGGAUGAAAUCAGCAGUCCAGGCCCUACACAAAGGUCUUUAGCAGUUGGAUUGAAUAGAUAUGAGUAGCAUAUACUUACUAUAGCCUAUGAUACCAUUACAAUGCCUUGAGGAUCUUAGUCUAUAGUAGACACCUCCUUUGAUUAAAGUAAAGGCUGGUCAUCCCAUUUAAAUAGCUCAUUCCCCUUUGAUCUGUGUUCAAUAUUAGCUUGGACUUUAAGGUAGCAUGCCUCUGUUGCUGUCAUUGUCUUUUUCAUUGACAGCAGUUUACAGCUGAUGAAUGUUACACAUCUUACUAUACUAAAACAAAUCCAUUGGAAAAAUGUUGGUUUGAGAAAAAAAUCUAAAAUAAUGUUAAAAAACGACCUGGAAGGUGUUGAUAUUUGUGUUCGACCUUGUUCAUUUAAACUUGAAUCUUGAGGCAAGUGCUAGGCAAUGGCCAAUCAUUUCAUGCCAUCAUCCAUGAAUCACCAUCUCCCCCAUGUUCAUUAGUCUGUGUACAGUACAUACAUGUUAUGUUAUGUGUCUGACCUGUAUAUCCCUCAUGUGAACAUGUUUGACUAGAUGAGAAUAGUGAUCCCUCUGUAUUCUAGACACAGCAAAGCCCUAUCUCCCUUGGGUUUGUAUAACUUAGUAGCCAACACUGUUUUCAUCCCUCGCUGUCAAAAGAGUCAACGUUAUGGUGAGCUAGUGUGCUCAGUUGGCAUUGCAUUGUCUUCAAAAUUCAAAAUAGACCUUGUUCAGUGGUCUGGCAUAGGUAAUACAUUAUGAAUGACUGUUAACCAAUAAGUGAAACAUCCUCUGGUAUAUUUAGGAUACUCUUAACGUGUGUGGAUCAGAGUGCACGGUUGUUAUUCCAAUCUGUAGUAACGUAUGAGGAAAAGUGAGCAGUCCUCUAUGACUCCACAGCAUAAUGAGGCUAUUGUCCUGCCACGUAACACCCACUGUUUUCCAGUGUGGAGGAGCAGCCUUCCACUGAGCUAUCCUCACUAAUUUGCUGUCUGCUCCUGAUUUGCCUUGCCCAUUCCUAACACUUGCCCAUUUUUUAACGUUAACAGACUUUUUACGGCGAGAGACUGACAGAACUGCCUGACGUCUGAAAGCAUCUUUCAGGUCUUCUUGUAUGGCUUUGCUCAAGCCCUGUUGUAACAUAAACUCAAAUGGAUGGGGGUCUCUCACAUCUCAGAUGUGGAAAGUAUAAUUUUAUAUUUGUAUUUUCAAAUAAUAAUAAUGAUGAAAAAAAUGUUUGUGAAAGGUUUCCAUCCUCUACUAUGGUCCAGAAAUCGAUGUCUGUCUGGAGAAAAAAAAUAAAAAAAAUAUACUGUUUUA